UUAUGCCUACGGGGCGCAGCAGUGGGGAAUAUUACACAAUGGGGGAAACCCUGAUGCAGCGACGCCGCGUGAAGGAUGAAGUAUUUCGGUAUGUAAACUUCUAUCAGCAGGGAAGAAAAUGACGGCACCUGACUAAGAAGCCCCGGCUAACUACGUGCCAGCAGCCGCGGUAAUACGUAGGGGGCAAGCGUUAUCCGGAUUUACUGGGUGUAAAGGGAGCGUAGACGGCAUGGCAAGUCUGAUGUGAAAACCCGGGGCUCAACCCCGG
rnacentral:rRNA from 1 species